rnacentral:rRNA from 3 species
UUUACCGGAGUACUAUGAAUAUUAAAAAUUUAAAACUCAAAGAACUUGGCGGUGUUUUAGACCACUCAGGGGAACCUGUCUCAUAAUCGAUAAUCCACGUUGUACCUGACCUUUUUUUGUAUUCAGUUUGUAUACCGUUGUCGUCAGGUAACUUUUUAGAAAUUAGAAGUUAGCAGCAGAAAUAAAAAAUAAUUUAAUACGUCAAAUCAAGGUGCAGCUAAUGAAAAGGGGAGGAUGGGUUACAAUUAUAUAAUUUAUAAUAACGGAUAGGUAUAUGGAGUAUGUAUUAAUUAUAAGGCGGACUUGAAAGUAAAUUAGGUUAUAUAAAUAACUUGAAUGAGGCUCUGAAACGUGU